rnacentral:rRNA from 1 species
AGUGAACGCUGGCGGUAGGCCUAACACAUGCAAGUCGAACGGCAGCACAGUAAGAGCUUGCUCUUACGGGUGGCGAGUGGCGGACGGGUGAGGAAUACAUCGGAAUCUACUUUUUCGUGGGGGAUAACGUAGGGAAACUUACGCUAAUACCGCAUACGACUUACGGGUGAAAGCAGGGGAUCUUCGGACCUUGCGCGAUUGAAUGAGCCGAUGUCGGAUUAGCUAGUUGGCGGGGUAAAGGCCCACCAAGGCGACGAUCCGUAGCUGGUCUGAGAGGAUGAUCAGCCACACUGGAACUGAGACACGGUCCAGACUCCUACGGGAGGCAGCAGUGGGGAAUAUUGGACAAUGGGCGCAAGCCUGAUCCAGCCAUACCGCGUGGGUGAAGAAGGCCUUCGGGUUGUAAAGCCCUUUUGUUGGGAAAGAAAAGCAGCAGGUUAAUACCCCGCUGUUCUGACGUUACCCAAAGAAUAAGCACCGGCUAACUUCGUG